UACGGAGGGUGCAAGCGUUAUCCGGAAUCAUUGGGUUUAAAGGGUCCGCAGGCGGAUCUGUAAGUCAGUGGUGAAAGUCUGCAGCUUAACUGUAGAACUGCCAUUGAUACUGCAGGUCUUGAAUCACUGUGAAGUGGCCGGAAUAUGUAGUGUAGCGGUGAAAUGCUUAGAGAUUACAUAGAACACCGAUUGCGAAGGCAGGUCACUAACGGUGGAUUGACGCUGAUGGACGAAAGCGUGGGUAGCGAACAGG
rnacentral:rRNA from 1 species